rnacentral:lncRNA from 1 species
UCGGGGCUUCCGGUUAGCGUGGGGGUUUUUAGACAAGUCGCUUUGAGCGUUAUCCUAGCGAUCCUUGUGAGGCGAUUGUUAGGUGUUAAAAUGGCGCGGAGAAGGUCGGGGAUUUAGCUCAGUGGUGCUGCCGCCUGCUUCGCAAGCGCAAGUUCCCGAGUUCGAUCUCCGGUACCAAAAAAAAAAAAAAAAAAGUAAAAUACCGCGGAGAAAGAGAGUUCAUUCUUAACCAGAGCUGUUCAAAGCCUUAACCUUGUGGGAGCCUGAGGAGGCCAAGGCAGGAGGAACGCAAGUUCGAGCCCAGUUUCUCGUCUUAGCGAACCCUGGCUCAAAAAAUAAAGGACUGGGAAAUGACACCUUCUUCAUCUCUGGAAUAAUGACUAUUGUGAAGAUCGGGCCCAGCUGGAUAUUAGGAGAUAAUCUAUCUCAAAAUUCCUAAUGACAUUUUUAGAAUUUUGUGUCAUAAAAGUUCACAACUUUCAGGGACUACAGGAUGGACGCAUUUGGAGGACCUAAUUUUCAGCCCAUCAUGCAUGCAUGGACAGACGUAUUUCCCCUCUGAGCUCUGGGGAACAUGAGAUACCUCGCUUGGACCUCACUCCUCAAUCUUUAAUGGCAAACAACUGCAAUAUAUGUAUGUGCCAAUUCGCCACAAAACAAGUAUUAAUCACAUAUCACAAGCAUGUUCUAAUAAAAGGGAAAAUACAUUUUAAAAAUGGAAAACAGCAGAGCUCUUCCCUUAUCCUCUGAGUCUGUCACUCUUGUCUGACCUUCACCCUUCAUGUCCUCACAUCUCUCCCUCCUCAUCCAGUUUAGAGGCCAUUGCUAUAAUAAGAUCAGUCUCUUUGGAUUAACUAUUAACUCUCUUGCCGCUCUCUCUCACUUGAUCUUAUUCUAAAAUUACAAAUCCUAAGUGAAUCUAACUCCCUGUCUCUUCCUUGCCUGGGCCCAUGUGGAAGAUGUGGGUUGAGAAGAAUACAUGACCCUUGAAGACUGGUCUCACUUUGAAUUUAUGACCACAAAGUUCACGUGGGCUUCUGCAAUGGUUAAGCUUAAAUGUGUCAACCUGAUUGGCUUGGGAGCCACCCGAGGGAUUUGUAAAGCACACU